UCCUGGUGGUUCAAAUGGUAAAGAAUCUGCUCCCAAUGCAGGAGAUCCAGGUUUGAUCCCUGGGUCAGGAA
rnacentral:tRNA from 1 species